rnacentral:tRNA from 12 species
GGUGGUGUAGCUCAGUUGGAUAGAGCAGCAGCCUUCUAAGCUGUCGGUCAGUGGUUCGAAUCCACUCACCAUCGCCA